UGGGGUUUAGCUCAGCGGCAUAAGCGCCUGCCUUGAAAGCAGGCAGUCCUGAGUUUGAUCCCUGGUACCCAU
rnacentral:tRNA from 1 species